AAAGUAGCUAUUUCUAAGUUUUGCUACAUAGCUAAUUUUACCCGUCUGGAAGAAGUUCAACAUCAAACUUCAUUCCUUUUCUCGCCAACAGCUGUAUCCAGAGGUGGAAACAAACACCAAUGUUAACUCUAACACGUCUUUUUUCUUCUGCUUAACCUAGCAUGCUAACUAGCUAGCCCGGCCUGACUCCUCACUUUCCGAUACCGAGUCACUGCAGCUGUCUUCCCGUUCUUGUCUUGUAAACGCAGUAAUGGCUGAAGCUUUUGUCAAGCAACCAUCACCACCACCCGCAGCGAAGACAUACAAACAACCCCUUUAAGGUCCCUUGCUGAGGGUGUGGACAGGAAGAACCAACAUGUCCUCCAGGGUAAAAGGGAAAAUAUUUCAUGGCUGCUCGCCCGGCGUGCGGCUGUCAGGACUUUCACUCAAUGAGAUAAUCUCCUCCAGUGACAACCUGGACAGAUCACUUAAGACCCGACACGGAGAGGAACGCUCCAGUAAUGACGUAAAGUUCAGCGAGCAGAUGAUGGAUCGUGAUGUGCAGAGGGUUGAGAAAUUGGACAUCAGCUAAAAUAAGCACAAAAUUAUCACAAUUACAUUAAAAUGUUACGGGAAGGUUAAAAAGUAAAUAACGAUGCAUCUUUGGAAACAUUUAAACUGAAGUUAAAUCCCCUGAUUUUACACUGUAAUGCAGGUUGAGUAAACACUAUAUAAAAUGUCAAAGUGCUUUGUGGGAAAUUACACUGCAUGUCAACAGAGAGAUAAUAGAGAUAUAUGCAGGCUUUUAUUUUGGUGAUUGAUCGCUCUUACAGCUCAUUAUUUUGGGUUUUCACUGACCAUGUGGACGGUCAGUGUGUUGAUCCAAAACAUUUUUUUUUUUAAAUGAAAAAUUCCUGUCAUACAUUUCCUUUAUGGGAAUGAAAAUCUUUAGAGAAUUCACAGAAAAGGAAUUUAUUUUCAAAAUAAAAUUCACCUUCACUUUA